rnacentral:rRNA from 1 species
UUCUGUGGGGACGGAGCGGCCGGCCGCAACUUGCGGUUCGAGCUAGCGCUUUCCCUACAUCCUGCCGCGAACCGUGCUACCAUUAGUUUGGUGGCGCCGGGGAUCGGCUCGUUUACUUUGAGAAAAAUAGAGUGUUCAAAGCAGGCCACACGCCUUGAAUAAGUUAGCAUGGAAUAAUAAUAAAGGACUUCGGUUCUAUUUUGUUGGUGUUCGGGACUGAAGUAAUGAUUGAUAGGGACAGUUGGGGCGGUCAGUAUUCCAAAGCGAGAGGUGAAAUUCUUAGACCUUCGGAAGACUAACAGCUGCGAAAGCGUUCCGCAAGGAUGUUCCCUUUGAUCAAGAACGAAAGUUGGGGGAUCGAAGACGAUCAGAUACCGUCGUAGUCUCAACUAUAAACUAUACCAGCUAGGGAUCGGCCAACGUUAAAUUAUUCGACUUGGUCGGCACCUUAUGAGAAAUCAAAGCAUCUGGGUUCCGGGGGGAGUAUGGUCGCAAGGCUGAAACUUAAAGGAAUUGACGGAAGGGCACCACCAGCCGUGGAGCCUGUGGCUUAAUUUGACUCAACACGGGAAAACUUACCAGGUCCAGACAUAGUAAGGAUUGACAGAUUGAUAGCUCUUUCUUGAUUCUGUGGGUGGUGGUGCAUGGCCGUUCUUAGUUGGUGGAGUGAUUUGUCUGGUUAAUUCCGUUAACGAACGAGACCCCAGCCUGCUAAAUAGCGCGGUUGAGCCUUGCUCGGCGCGAGCUUCUUAGAGGGACUAUGAUGCGCGAUAGCACAUGGAAGUUUGGGGCAAUAACAGGUCUGUGAUGCCCUUAGAUGUUCUGGGCCGCACACGGGCUACACUGGCGCCUGCAACGAGCAUAUCAGCUGGCCCGAGAGGGUCUUGGCUAAUCUUUUGAACCGGCGCCGUGCUUGGGAUUGACCAUUGCAAUUGUUGGUCAUGCAACGAGGAAUGCCUUGUAAACGCGAGUCAUCACUCGCAUUGAAUACGUCCCUGCCCUUUGUACACACCGCCCGUCGCUCUACGAUGAUGUUCCGAUGAAAUUUCGAAA